rnacentral:rRNA from 1 species
UGACCAGACUCCUACGGGAGGCAGCAGUGGGGAAUAUUGCACAAUGGGGGAAACCCUGAUGCAGCGACGCCGCGUGAGUGAAGAAGUAUUUCGGUAUGUAAAGCUCUAUCAGCAGGGAAGAAAUAGCGACCUUUGGGUCGCCAGACGGUACCUGAUUAAGAAGCCCCGGCUAACUACGUGCCAGCAGCCGCGGUAAUACGGGGGAUGCAAGCGUUGUCCGGAAUCAUUGGGCGUAAAGAGUUCGUAGGUGGCACGUUAAGUCUGGUGUUAAAUGCAGAGGCUCAACCUCUGUUCGGCACUGGAUACUGGCGAGCUUGAAUGCGGUAGAGGUAAAGGGAAUUCCUGGUGUAGCGGUGAAAUGCGUAGAUAUCAGGAGGAACAUCGGUGGCGUAAGCGCUUUACUGGGCCGUAAUUGACACUGAGGAACGAAAGCCAGGGUAGCAAAUGGGAUUAGAUACCCCGGUA